GGAGCAGCAACGAUGUUACGCAGCAGGGCAGUCGCCCUAAAACAAAGUUAGACUUUUGGGCGGCGCGAAUCUUG
rnacentral:sRNA from 1 species